rnacentral:lncRNA from 1 species
UGAUGUUUAAUGGCAUUGUUCUGAGUAAGAUCACUCCAAGGGCUCUUGCUUAAAAGAACACACUUUGUGUGAAGUUUCAAAUUGCUCAAAGAAUGCCAAGUUGCCAAAUAAUAAAGAAAAGGAAGGGACUGGUAGUGGGGAUAAACAUCACUCAUUAAGAGAAUUGGAGAAGAUCAAAUCACAUGAUUUGCUUCUUCUUUUUUCCAUUUAUUAUUAUGUGUAAGAACCAGAGUCGUGUUUUAGUAUGAUGAUCUUUUGGUGUUAAUGUUGUACUAUUUUGUACCAUGUCAGAUCUGAGUUAUGUUGUCUCUUUUUUAUGAUGUGUGUUUUGUUCAUAAUAGCAUCCAUUGUCAUGACAGAUCUUUCAGUCAAGAAAUUUGUGCUUGUACU